rnacentral:rRNA from 1 species
AGUAACACGUGAGCAAUCUGCCCUUGACUCUGGGAUAACGCCGAGAAAUUGGUGCUAAUACCGGAUAUGACCCCUGGCGGCAUCGCUGGGGGUGGAAAGUUUUUCGGUCAAGGAUGAGCUCGCGGCCUAUCAGCUAGUUGGUGAGGUAAUGGCUCACCAAGGCGACGACGGGUAGCCGGCCUGAGAGGGUGACCGGCCACACUGGGACUGAGACACGGCCCAGACUCC